CCUACGGGUGGCAGCAGUGAGGAAUAUUGGGCAAUGGGCGAGAGCCGGAACCAGCCAAGUCGCGUGAAGGAUGACGGCCCUACGGGUUGUAAACGUCGGUUGUCAGGGAGCAAGGGAGGCCACGUGUGGGCUUAGCGAGAGGACCUGAAGAAAAAGCAGCGGCUAACUCCGUGCCCGCAGCCGCGGUAAUAAGGAGGAUGCGAGCGUUAGCCGGAUUUAUUGGGUUGAAAGGGUGCGUAGGCGGAAUAUCAAGUCAGCGGUAAAAAUUCGGGGCUCAACCCGGUCGUGCCGUGGAAACGGCUGUUCUUGCGUGGGCGAGAAGUAUGCGGAAUGCGUGUUGUAGCGGUGACCUGCUUAGCUAUCACGCAGAACUCCGAUUGCGAAGGCAGCAUACCGGCGCCCACCUGCCGCUGAAGCACGAACGCGUGGGUAUCGAACAGGAUUAGAUACCCUAGUAUUC
rnacentral:rRNA from 1 species